rnacentral:lncRNA from 12 species
AUGAAGAGAACAAGACUUUUAAGGGAAACUGGCACAGGGCUGCGUGCGCACCAAGUUGCUCACACCGCUUGCGGAGGGCAGGGGGUGCAGGGGCUGCUAAGAGAUGCUCUUCCAAACCAAUGCAGGCUUUCACGAUCCCGGUUUCCCCCAAAGUUACCAGCGUUUGUUGAGCUUUUUUGGCGGGAGGCAAACUUCUCUGUGAUCCAAGUUCUGGAACGAUUUUUCCUGGGGAGUGAUUCAUCCCCCCGAUGGUCUCUUGAUGUCAGAAAGAUGGGCCACUUCUUGGGCCCAGCGUUCGAAGAGUCCAUGACCACAGCUGUGCACACUGGUUCAGAUAGACUCCUCUGGAGGCAACAGGCACACUUCCCUACAGAGAUAAGGAUCUACGUCUUCUUUGCCUCAUAAAAAUCAUCCUGAAUUUAAGCUGCAACUAUAAAAACCCCCCAGCAAACAAGAAACAGCUUUUCUGAUCUAAGUUAUGGGAAAGUGGACUUUUAUUUUCUAUUUAAAGAAAUACGAGUCUUCGUAAUGCAUUAGUAAUUCUAGUAAAAAAAAAAAUUUGAUAUGGACUUGAUUUCAUAAAAGAAGGCUGUCCUUAAAAUGCAUAUCCAUGUCUUCUCAGAAGCGUCACUUUCAGUUUUUAUGAAAAGUAAAAACAAACUUGGAGUUGGCAAUGAAGUCACUGGUCACUUUUAAUGCAAUGGUUUCCGUACCAAGGUUAAGGAAGAGGGAAAAAGAAUAUUUUAAACCAAGAGCGGUUCUACCAAAGAUAGUGAGUGAGGACUUGGUAUUUGUAGUCAAAUACCGUGUAUUUGAGCAGAUAUCUAGCAUGUCCCUACAAAGACCAUCUCCACACCUUAAAUAUUCCUUUGGUAUUCUCUUUCCUCUUGCACUUUUCCACUAGACUCUUUUUUAGUGAAAGCCUUUAUCUACGGCCCCUCAAUGCCAAGGCUUUCCCCAAUUUUAGAGCCAUUCAAGCAGCCCCUAAGUGUUUUGAAGCUUUGACAUAGGAGCCAUUAAGGCAGAAGAGUCAUUGGUUCUAGAUUCUUGAUCACCUCCUCACCCUGUAUCCGAGAGUCUGUUUUCCUGUAGAGGAACCCACAGGACAUAGUUUCCCUCAAUUUGUAGCCCUAACGCCCACUUUGGUGGAAUGAUACACAAACAUUCAAAUGUUGUGGAGAAAUUAGAAACUACUGUUCAUGUCACAUGGGAUCGUUUUCAAGGAUUCGGUCUGUCUCCUCCGCAUAUCGAACUCUUCUAGAUACCGAAGCUCUGAUGCCCUUAUAAAGACCGAUUUGCCCACCACUGUUCUGCAGACCAUCCAGAAACAGCUCCUGUUGUAAUAUGGAGUGGUCCGCACUAGGAAGGAGUCUACCUCUCACACAAGUUGAGUUUUACUGGUUCAAGUGGAAGACCUAUUUCUUUGGGGGUUCGUUUGUUUGUUGUUUAUUUGGUAGAGGAUCAGAAGAAGCAAGGCCAAGUUGUUGUCUUUUUUUUUUUUUUUUUUUCUUUGCCUAUGAUGGCAACCCACCAACAGGGCAACUCUCAGAAAGGCAUUUGUGUGGGUGUCCUCAGCCUCCCCCUCUCUCCUCAGGUUAGCUCAGAACCAGUGGCUCGUUACCCAAGACCGUUCACUUGGCAGAUCCAGGCCACUGGUCCCCAGCUGGCCUGGGCGAGAGAGUGUGGCUGAGUGAGUUCAGCGUUUAGCGUGUGGGGCCCGGGAAGAGCGGACACCGAGUGAAGGCAGGUAACCCGCACAGCAGCUCUAUUUAGGCCUCAAGGCCCACCGCCACCAAGCCUUCGCUGAGGGAACCAACUGACCAUGGCCUCGGUUACGGCGAGGGCACGAACUGCAAGAAAACGAGGACAGACGGAUCAGUUUGUUCUGAGGAGAGGGGCUUGGUCCUUCUUGAAAGCUUUUUGAGAACUGUGACUGAAAUUUUGGACGGCCUGCAAUGGAAGUCACAUUUGACCACCUCCAGACUCGAGGCUGUUAUUUUUGUGAAAGUCUAUUUUAACCAGAGGAAAUCCUGUUUCCCCAGCAGCCCUGGCAACAGCCCUGAGAUGCACAGUCGUCUCAGGAGUGUUGUGAGGAUACGGGCUCUCUUUAAUCUCAGAAUAAAAAUAUUUGAUGUUUACA